rnacentral:rRNA from 1 species
GACGAACCGUGCGAACGUUGUUCGGAAUCACUGGGCGUAAAGGGCGCGUAGGCGGGCCGUAAAGUCAGGGGUGAAAUCCUCCAGCUUAACUGGAGAACUGCCUUUGAUACUGACGGCCUCGAGUGAGGUAGGGGCGUGCGGAACUGAUGGUGGAGCGGUGAAAUGUGUUGAUAUCAUCAGGAACUCCGGUGGCGAAAGCGGCACGCUGGACCUCUACUGACGCUGAGGCGCGAAAGCCAGGGGAGCGAACGGG